rnacentral:rRNA from 1 species
AGUGGCGGACGGGUGAGUAACGCGUGAGAAUCUGCCUUGGGGUCGGGGACAACCACUGGAAACGGUGGCUAAUACCGGAUAAGCCGAUUGGUGAAAGAUUUAUUGCCCGAAGAGGAGCUCGCGUCUGAUUAGCUAGUUGGUGAGGUAAGAGCUCACCAAGGCAGCGAUCAGUAGCUGGUCUGAGAGGACGAUCAGCCACACUGGGACUGAGACACGGCCCAGACUCCUACGGGAGGCAGCAGUGGGGAAUUUUCCGCAAUGGGCGAAAGCCUGACGGAGCAAGACCGCGUGAGGGAGGAAGGCUCUUGGGUUGUAAACCUCUUUUCUCAGGGAAGAAGCUCUGACGGUACCUGAGGAAUCAGCCUCGGCUAACUCCGUGCCAUCAGCCGCGGUAAUACGGAGGAGGCAAGCGUUAUCCGGAAUUAUUGGGCGUAAAGCGUCCGCAGGUGGCAAUUCAAGUCUGCUGUCAAAGCACGGGGCUUAACUCCGUUAAGGCAGUGGAAACUGAAUAGCUAGAGUGCCGUAGGGGUAGAGGGAAUUCCCGGUGUAGCGGUGAAAUGCGUAGAGAUCGGGAAGAACAUCGGUGGCGAAAGCGCUCUACUGGACGGCAACUGACACUCAGGGACGAAAGCUAGGGGAGCGAAUGGGAUUAGAUACCCC